rnacentral:rRNA from 1 species
UACGUAGGGGGCGAGCGUUGUCCGGAUUCAUUGGGCGUAAAGCGCGCGUAGGCGGCAGGGCAAGUCGGCCGUGAAAUCUCCCAGCUUAACUGGGAGGGGUCGGGCGAGACUGCCCCGCUAGAGGCGGGUAGAGGGCAGUGGAAUUCCGGGUGUAGUGGUGGAAUGCGUAGAGAUCCGGAGGAACACCAGUGGCGAAGGCGGCUGCCUGGGCCUGGCCUGACGCUGAGGCGCGAAAGCGUGGGGAGCAAACAGG